rnacentral:rRNA from 1 species
AAAAAAUGCAAACCUCCCUAAACCAUUGUGAACGUUACCUAUACCGUUGCUUCGGCGGGCGGCCCCGGGGCUUUACCCCCCGGGCGCCCCUGGGCCCCACCGCGGGCGCCCGCCGGAGGUCACCAAACUCUUGAUAAUUUAUGGCCUCUCUGAGUCUUCUGUACUGAAUAAGUCAAAACUUUCAACAACGGAUCUCUUGGUUCUGGCAUCGAUGAAGAACGCAGCGAAAUGCGAUAAGUAAUGUGAAUUGCAGAAUUCAGUGAAUCAUCGAAUCUUUGAACGCACAUUGCGCCCGCCAGCAUUCUGGCGGGCAUGCCUGUUCGAGCGUCAUUUCAACCAUCAAGCCCCCGGGCUUGUGUUGGGGACCUGCGGCUGCCGCAGGCCCUGAAAAGCAGUGGCGGGCUCGCUGUCGCACCGAGCGUAGUAGCAUACAUCUCGCUCUGGUCGCGCCGCGGGUUCCGGCCGUUAAACCACCUUUUAACCCAAGGUUGACCUCGGAUCAGGUAGGAAGACCCGCUGAACUUAAGCAUAUCAAUAAGCGGAGGCAGAG